rnacentral:rRNA from 1 species
AUGAGGGGCCUCCGGGCGGACGCCGGCGGUGGCGGCGGUGGCGCCUCCUCCUCGUCGACUUCCACCGCAGAGAACUCGCGCUUCGACUCGGGGCAGUAUUCCUUCUUCGGCAAGGCGCCGCUGGAGGGGCUGGAGCUCGGCGGCAGCCUGGCGGAUGACGGGGGCCUGGACGGCGGCUAUGGCGGCGGCGGCUUCGGUGGGCACGACGAUGGGGCUUACCAGCUGUCUCCUGUGGGGGAAGAGAUUGAUUGCAUGAGUAACUUGUCUGAAAUUGAUGAUCUUGCAAGCACGUUCGCAAAGUUGAACCGAAGUAUAAGUGGAGCAAGGAAUCCUGGUGUUAUUGGUGAUAGACGAUCAAUUUCCAGGGAAAGUUCUUUGACUACCGACUGGGCCCAGGAAGCAGAGUUCUCGAAUUGGGUGGAUCAUGAUAUACUGGACAGCGACGAAUUUCGAGACAGCAAACAAUUGUGUCCUCAGCCACAGUAUUUGCCUCAGUUCGGAGAGUCAAAACCAUUGAGCCGAACAUCAUCCUAUCCCCUGGAGCCACUACAACACCGCUCCAGUGAACCUAUUCUGGGACAUAGAUCUCCUUCAUUUACAUCCUAUCCUCCACCAGGUGGUGGUGGAUUAUCUUAUCCUGCACAAGGUCUUACGCGGCACUCGAGCAUUCCAUCACCUGGUGCUGGUUACCAAAUGGGUUCUCCAAGUUCGUCACUUACUGGUUCUCCAUAUAACAUGACUGGUCUACCUCAUGGACUGCGGUUGGGGCGAAGCAUGUCUUACACUUCUGCAGAUCUAUACGCGAACAACUUGCUGCAAAACGAAUGGCCAAAUCAAGCUGGUUCGCAUGCUUUUGAGCAUCUUAAUCUACAGCCCAGUUUAUUGCAGCAACAACUAUCUUUUCCGGGCAGUUCAAUGUCUUCGUUGCUAUUUUCUCAGCAGCAACAGCAGCAGCAGAGGUUGUCACUAGUUCAACCGCUUCAUCAUCACAAUUACCUAAACAUGCAGCCUCACUUGUAUCACCAUCAUUCCCCGGAGAUAAUAGGCAGGUUUGAUCAUAUUCCUAGUGUGCCUUCACCAAGGGACAAGAGAUCAAGGUCAGGAAGAGGAAAACACAGUAUACGCUUUUCUCAACAACAAUCUGAUACAGCUAGCCAGAAUGUUGACACUGGAGGAACAAAAUUCAGAUCAAAGUAUAUGUCAUCUGAAGAGAUUGAUACUAUUUUAAGAAUGCAGCACUCUGGCAGUCACAGCAAUGAUCCUUACGUCGAUGACUACUACCACCAAGCUUGUAUAGCCAAAAGAUCCGUCAAUUCUCAGAAGAAGGUGAAUUUCUCCCCCAUGUCAAUAAAAGACUCCCACUCAAAGUCUAGGUCUGGUGGUGAUCAGCAUUCAUACCUGAAGGUUGAUUCUCUUGGAAGAGUGUCAUUCUCUUCCAUACGUAGGCCUCGCCCUCUUCUUGAAGUUGAUAUUCCUGCAUCUGGUGAUGGUCACAAGUCAUGUACGAGGCCACUGGAGAAAGAGCCAAUGCUGGCAGCCAGAAUUACCGUUGAGGAUGGUAUAUGUCUUCUUCUAGAUGUAAAUGACAUUGACCGUGUGUUACAGUCUAGCCAGGCACAGGACAGCAGCUUCCAACUGAGGCGAAGGCGACAGGUCCUCCUUGAAGGCUUAGCUACAUCACUUGAGCUUGUCGACCCUUUUGGCCCCAACAAACCUGGCAAUUCAUCUGGAUUGGCCCCGACGGAUGACCUUAUUUUUCUCCGCAUUGUUUCUCUCCCUAAAGGACGCAAGCUCUUGGCACGGUAUCUCCGACUUCUUGCCCCUGGAAGUGAGCUAACCCGCAUAGUUUGCAUGGCUAUCUUUCGGCAUCUUAGGAGCUUGUUUGGGGGUUUGCCAUCAGAUUCUGGUGCUGCAGAAACAACAGUUAGUCUUGCCAAGACCGUGUCCUCCUGCGUGCAUCACAUGGAGCUCAGUGCCCUCAGCGCCUGCCUCGCAGCUGUUGUCUGCUCGUCGCAGCAGCCACCUCUCCGCCCUCUUGGCAGCUCUGCUGGUGAUGGUGCUGCUCUAAUCAUCAAAUCAGUACUGGACAGAGCAACUGAGCUACUGGCCGAUCCCCAUUCUGCAGCCAACUACAGCAGGUCAACCCGUUCGCUUUGGCAGGCGUCGUUCGAUGCCUUCUUUGGGCUUCUGACAAAAUACUGCGACAGCAAGUAUGGGAGCAUUCUGCAGAGGUUCAGCAUGCAGGGAUCCAACUCAAUGGCUGGACCUGAAGCCUCGAAGGCCGUCAGCAGGGAGAUGCCCGUCGAGCUACUGCGUGCAAGCCUUCCGCACACCAGCGAAGAACAACGCCAGAUGCUUCUUGACUUUGCUCGGAAAUCCAUGCCUGUGAUCGGCUACAACCACUCGGGCGCUAGCGGCGGGCAUUCUACUACUUCCGAACCUGUUCCCGGUUAA